rnacentral:rRNA from 1 species
ACGCAACCUCAACUCAGGCGGGGCUACUCGCUGAGUUUAAGCAUAUCAAUAAGCGGAGGAAAAGAAACUAACAAGGAUUCCUCUA